UGUGGCCACCUCCAGGUACUCGUCCCCGGAUCCGGAAGAGCUGCCGGACUCGUCGGAGCUGUCGCCCGGCGACGCCGAGAACCGCCUCUUCGUCUUCUUCGCCGCCGGCCUCACCGUGCAGCUGUGGUAAAAUCUCGGCACAUCCUGGCACUUAAGCUCCUCCCACUGCACGCCGGAGCCCGGCGACGGAGCGUCGCUGCGGAAGUCGUAGUUCCACCGCUUGUUGGCCGCGUCCACGCCCGAGUGGAGGAGACGCUGGAAGUCCUGGUGCAGCUGCUGGUGGUCCACGGGGCCGAAGAGGUUCCUCCGCACCGAGCCCACCUUUAACGACGGGGCCUCGAUGCUCCCUCGGCACGCCGUCUCUGAGUCAGCGGAUGUUGACGUGUCCAUCGCCAUGUCCCUGGUGAACACACGCAAGGAAAGAGAAUGAAUGCAAAAUAACCCACCUUGGGACCAACGGAAGUUGCGAGUGCCAGCACUUUGAUACAGAAGAUUCCUGAAUGAGCAGAGCAUGGGCCAAAGUUAUUCAACACAGAGGCGGCGCCCCAGUUGCACCUUUUUCCCGCCUCUUUCAAACUGAGCACUGGGAUGUUUGUUUGUGUCCAUGGCGUGUCCUCCAGCUGCUGCGGCCUCCUCCUGCUCCUACACCGUGGUCAUCAUCCCACUAAAGAGCAGACUCUACGGCCUGGACGCGCUUCGAUUCUACUCGUGG